UGGACAGGAGGAGACCCUGAUGGAAGCCCAACUACUCAUUUCAUGUCCAUCUUGCCCACUCCUCCCAUUCCAU
rnacentral:miRNA from 1 species